rnacentral:rRNA from 1 species
GACAGAGGGUGCAAACGUUGCUCGGAAUCACUGGGCGUAAAGGGCGUGUAGGCAGGGAAGGAAAGUCGGGCGUGAAAUCCCUGGGCUCAACCCAGGAACUGCACUCGAAACUUCUUUUCUUGAGUGCCGGAGAGGAAAGCGGAAUACCUGGUGUAGAGGUGAAAUUCGUAGAUAUCAGGUGGAACACCAGUGGCGAAGGCGGCUUUCUGGACGGUAACUGACGCUGAGACGCGAAAGCGUGGGGAGCGAACAGG